GCGGAAACUGCUAUCCCUAAGGAUUCUACUGGGAUCAUUCUGCACCUCCAGGACUCAAUGCCAUGAGGAAAUUCUGCUGAGCUCCUCAUCUUCUGCAGAUGUAGUGAAUCAAUUCAACCAACCCGUGAAUGAAGAGAGCUGACCGCUGACAAGUACACCCGUGCGGUGCACCAGUAUGCAGCUGACCUCCUCUGAAAUCAGGAAUCUUUUUCAAACAUUGGGAUUGUGACCCUAACUUUUACAGUGUGAUGUCAAAUCUACUCUUGCAUUGUGUUACCAA
rnacentral:lncRNA from 1 species